rnacentral:tRNA from 1 species
GGCUCCCUCGUCUAGCGGUAAGGACACCACCCUUUCACGGUGGAUACACGGGUUCGAGUCCCGUGGGAGUCACCA